GCGGGGAUGCCGGAGCCUGGUCAAACGGACAUGGCUUAGGACCAUGUGGCUUAGUGCCUGCGCAGGUUCGAAUCCUGCUCCCCGCA
rnacentral:tRNA from 1 species